UGGCAGUAUGAAGCGCCAGAGCCGCAGUGCAGAUGCGGUUGACGAGGUGGAAGUGAUCGAAGUUUUCGGCGGAUGCUUCCCGCCCUUUCGCACAGGGACGCAGGUCUUUUACAAAGCUUUUGAGAAAUCAAAGGGACAAAAGAAAGAUAACGUGCGAAU
rfam:Firmicutes bacterium CAG:466 genomic scaffold, scf203